rnacentral:rRNA from 1 species
CGCCUGGGGAGUACGGCCGCAAGGUUAAAACUCAAAUGAAUUGACGGGGGCCCGCACAAGCGGUGGAGCAUGUGGUUUAAUUCGACGCAACGCGAAGAACCUUACCUGGCCUUGACAUGCAGAGAACUUUCCAGAGAUGGAUUGGUGCCUUCGGGAACUCUGACACAGGUGCUGCAUGGCCGUCGUCAGCUCGUGUCGUGAGAUGUUGGGUUAAGUCCCGUAACGAGCGCAACCCCUAUCCCUAGUUGCUAGCAGUUCGGCUGAGAACUCUAGGGAGACUGCCGGUGACAAACCGGAGGAAGGUGGGGAUGACGUCAGGUCAUCAUGGCCCUUACGGCCAGGGCUACACACGUGCUACAAUGGCGCGCACAGAGGGCUGCAAACCCGCGAGGGGGAGCCAAUCUCACGAAACGCGUCGUAGUCCGGAUCGCAGUCUGCAACUCGACUGCGUGAAGUCGGAAUCGCUAGUAAUCGUGAAUCAGAAUGUCACGGUGAAUACGUUCCCGGGCCUUGUACACACCGCCCGUCACACCAUGGGAGUGGAUUGCACCAGAAGUGGUUAGUCUAACCUUCGGGAGGACGAUCACCACGGUGUGGUUCAUGACUGGGGUGAAGUCGUAACAAGGUAACCGUA